rfam:Ovis aries breed Texel chromosome 4, whole genome shotgun sequence.
UCCCUGGUGGCUCAGAGGUUAAAGCGUCUGCCUGCAAUGCAGGAGACCCGGGUUUGAUCCCUGGGUUGGGAA